CUGAGGACAACGGUCCCGGCAGUCCCUACGGGAGGCAGCAGUGGGUGGAAUAUUGGACAAUGGGGGGAAACCCCUGAUCCAGCGACGCCGCGUGUGUGAAGAAGGCCUGCGGGUUGUAAAGCACUUUUAGUGGGGACAAAAAGCUACGGAUUAAUACUCUGUGGUCUUGAUUUAACACAAAGAAAAAGCACCGGCUAACUCUGUGCCAGCAGCCGCGGUAAUACAGAGGGUGCGAGCGUUAAUCGGAAUUACUGGGCGUAAAGCGCGCGUAGACGGUGUUGUAAGUCAGAUGUGAAAUUCCUGGGCUCAUCCUGGGGACUGCAUUUUAGACGUAUGGACUAGAGUGGAGAAGAGGGUUGCGGAAUUUCC
rnacentral:rRNA from 1 species